rnacentral:rRNA from 1 species
UUGCCUCAGUAACGGCGAGUGAAGCGGCAACAGCUCAAAUUUGAAAUCUGGCUCCUUUGGCGUCCGAGUUGUAAUUUGGAGAGGGGUCUUCGGCGAUGGCUCCGGCCCAAGUCCCUUGGAACAGGACGUCACAGAGGGUGAGAAUCCCGUGUCCGGCGGGCGGCCUCUCUCCCGUGAAGCCCCUUCUACGAGUCGAGUUGUUUG